AUUGAACGCUGGCGGCAUGCCUAACACAUGCAAGUCGAACGGUAACAGGAGAGAGCUUGCUCUCUUGCUGACGAGUGGCGGACGGGUGAGUAAUGUAUAGGGAUCUGCCUGACAGUGGGGGACAACAGCCGGAAACGGCUGCUAAUACCGCAUACGCUCUACGGAGGAAAGUGGGGGACCUUCGGGCCUCACGCUGACAGAUGAACCUAUAUCAGAUUAGCUAGUUGGUGGGGUAAAGGCCUACCAAGGCGACGAUCUGUAGCUGGUCUGAGAGGAUGAUCAGCCACACUGGGACUGAGACACGGCCCAGACUCCUACGGGAGGCAGCAGUGGGGAAUAUUGGACAAUGGGGGCAACCCUGAUCCAGCAAUGCCGCGUGUGUGAAGAAGGCCUUCGGGUUGUAAAGCACUUUCAAUAGGGAGGAAAAGCUGUGCGUUAAUAGCGUACAGCCGUGACGUUACCUAUAGAAGAAGCACCGCUAACU
rnacentral:rRNA from 1 species